UUUUUUUUUUUCACUUUUAAAGGCUAAUAUUGUUUUCUUUUCCUUGCAGAAGCAAUUGAUAUUGACCAACGGCUGCUCAGAUGAGGUUUGCUUUUAGAGAAAGAUAAAAAGAGAACAGACCUGGAUGAGAUAAACUUGUUGAGAGUGUGCUAUCUGCCUCCAUGGUGACAGAACAGAGCCUCGGAGGAAACGGCCCUGCAUCAUCAUUUCUCCUUCAGUUCCAGGCAGCAUCUGUCACUGCAGAACUGGGCUGUGAGCUGCAAAUUAGACCCAGGUCCUCUCUGAUUGUGGGACAAAGGGGAAAGGAGGAAGAGGCAAGGCUGCUGGAAGGAUGUAAGAUUACCUGCGUUAUGGAGCCCAAGUAUCGAGGUCCCUGCAAUUCCAAUGACACCUCUGCCAGGACUCCAGGGUCUUUUCUUUCCUGCACCAUCUUCAUUGCACAUCCUUCUCUACAUAGCUGCCACUGCACCACCCUUGAAACUCACAGACCACUUCGUGUUUCAACCUGUUCCUAAGAUCCCACUGAAGACUGUCCCAGACAUCAUCAAGGUUACCUGCAUGAAGCCAGCCAAGGCAGCUUUUUUUUGGAAAAGACGUUUACAAAACAGUGCUGUACCCUCAGGUUGUUCCCACAGAUUGGUUGCUGCAUCCAUGGGAUCUUAUUAUUGUGCCUCCCCCGCUAUUACUUGUUGCGCUUAACCGUUCCCAAAAUGAGUUGCUAGCUCUGUAAACCAAAGAUUGCUUAUUGCAUCUUUGAACAGCACCUAGCGCUGGGGAUGUGGGUUGGGGCAUCAGUCAGUAAUUGAAAGGUAAGUAACAGCUAACAAUCCUGAUUGAAAUGUAUCCCCUGAAAAUAUUUUUCAGCAGAGAAUGGACCUUUUUCGUUAAAUGAAAUUUUUUAUAUAAAACAUUAUCAGUUCUGUAGAAAUUUUCUAUUUUCUAUUUAAUAAAAGGUGCUUUCUUUUUUGGUUUUGUUUCCUC
rnacentral:lncRNA from 1 species